GACGAACGCUGGCGGCGUGCUUAACACAUGCAAGUCGAACGGAAAGGCCCUGCUUGCAGGGUACUCGAGUGGCGAACGGGUGAGUAACACGUGGGUGAUCUGCUCUGCACUUCGGGAUAAGCCUGGGAAACUGGGUCUAAUACCGGAUAGGAGCCAUUUUUAGUGUGAUGGUUGGAAAGUUUUUUCGGUGUAGGAUGAGCUCGCGGCCUAUCAGCUUGUUGGUGGGGUAAUGGCCUACCAAGGCGGCGACGGGUAGCCGGCCUGAGAGGGUGGACGGCCACAUUGGGACUGAGAUACGGCCCAGACUCCUACGGGAGGCAGCAGUGGGGAAUAUUGCACAAUGGGCGCAAGCCUGAUGCAGCGACGCCGCGUGGGGGAUGACGGCCUUCGGGUUGUAAACUCCUUUCGCUAGGGACGAAGCUUUUUGCGACGGUACCUAGAUAAGAAGCACCGGCUAACUACGUGCCAGCAGCCGCGGUAAUACGUAGGGUGCGAGCGUUGUCCGGAAUUACUGGGCGUAAAGGGCUCGUAGGUGGUUUGUCGCGUCGUCUGUGAAAUUCCGGGGCUUAACUCCGGGCGUGCAGGCGAUACGGGCAUAACUUGAGUACUGUAGGGGUAACUGGAAUUCCUGGUGUAGCGGUGAAAUGCGCAGAUAUCAGGAGGAACACCGAUGGCGAAGGCAGGUUACUGGGCAGUUACUGACGCUGAGGAGCGAAAGCAUGGGUAGCGAACA
rnacentral:rRNA from 1 species